GCAAAGGGAAACUACUCGUCUUAGCAACGUUGAAUAGAAACGUAAUAGAUCCAAAUUUUAACAUAUUAAUGGCCAUCCGCAGUAGAUAUGUAUUUCUCGGAUGAUAAAUGUGAUGAGUGCAGUCGAACAAAGACUGCUCGAUUGUUGUCUUGGAUUGAAAGAAGAAAACUGAAGAAAAAUCUAAAGCGACAAAACAAAUGCUGUGAGUGUAAGAAGAGAAAGUCGCUAUCAAUGAUCUCUUGGAUUCAAAAGAGAAAAGAAAAGAAACGACUAAAACAUCAAUGUGG